GGGUGUCAUUUUCAUGCAGGAUGACUCCACACGAGAGGAUCUGCCUUCAUGCAGACACCCAAGUCGAAUGUUGUAAUGACAUAUUCUUGGCCAAUCUCAUGACUUGCUUCUUCAGAAGCUCGUAAACACUCUUGAACUGUACUAACUUCCGUGAUGGGAUGAUUGAUCAUAGGAUAGUAGUCAAUUGUGGUCACAUUUGAAGGCACCUCACCUGUUGCUGAGACAAAUCCAGCCCAAGCUGGAAGCUCUUGACCUUUCUCACUACUCGCUUUCCGGGAAAGCAU